GUUUCCAUGAAACAGGUUUUAGCCAUUCCUGCAGCUUGCUAGAGGUUGUUUGCAUGGAUCUUAUUCUGAAAUUGCAACAAUAUAGCUAUCUCAAAUCUCCGGCACUCUGUGUGGAGCCUACAAGCAUUUGAAACAGAAAACCAGAUGAACAGAAAAAACCCAAAAUGCAUUUGCACCAGGCAAUUGUACUCUAGACUCCGGCACAAUGCCCUCAGCAUCAAAAGAGCAAGAGUUCAACAGAUUUUAUAAAGGUCUUACAGCCCUAUUUGGAGAAAAAGAGAUACUUAACUGUGUCACCUGAAAAGGACUAGACCCUGCAACUAUUUAUUUGCAGAGAAGAAAACGGGAUCAAUAAACCUUGACAAAAGUGAACGUGUGAAAAAGGCAAAAGAAUGGAGCGAGAAGAUAAAAGUGAUAUCCCGAUCCCAGAUUUCAGAGGCAUAUGACCAAAGCUCUGGCCGGCUGAAUAAUCUGAAUAGCCCAUCAUUUCUUUGCAGCCUUUCACUUUCUUUCGCCUGACUGUUGGAACUCUUCAUUCAAUACAAUAGUAAAUGCACUAAAACUUU